rnacentral:rRNA from 1 species
CCUACGGGAGGCAGCAGUGAGGAAUAUUGGUCAAUGGGCGGGAGCCUGAACCAGCCAAGCCGCGUGAAGGAAGAAGGCGCCAGGCGUCGUAAACUUCUUUUGUCGGGGAACAAAGGGCGCCACGCGUGGCGUUGUGAGUGUACCCGAAGAAAAAGCAUCGGCUAACUCCGUGCAAGCAGCCGCGGUAAUACGGAGGAUGCGAGCGUUAUCCGGAUUUAUUGGGUUUAAAGGGUGCGUAGGCGGUCCGGAAAGUCAGCGGUAACAGCCCGGGGCUCAACCCCGGCGAGCCGUUGAAACUGUCGGACUAGAGACGGCGAGAAGUACGCGGAAUGCGCGGUGUAGCGGUGAAAAGCAUAGAUAUCGCGCAGAACUCCGAUUGCGAAGGCAGCGUACCGGCGCCGGACUGACGCUGAGGCACGAAAGCGUGGGUAUCGAACAGGAUUAGAUACCCUUGUAGUC